rnacentral:lncRNA from 1 species
AUGAAAGAAGUCCAAGUGACCAUUUCCCAUCUUUUAUAUAAUUUACAGGAACAGCCCUUUUGUGAGACAACACUGAAACAUUUCCAAAAGAGAGACAAGGUGGGGGUGUUUGCCCAAUGCCGAGUUUCUGGAAAGAGUCAUUUCCACACAGUGCGCACACACGAAAGGCGCUGAAAAUGCUCAGAGGUGAAUGCAGUGCUGCAGAGUGGCGAGUAGCAUGCUAGGUUUGGAACCAAAGGCUUUGCAUUGGAACUCCAGGCUUUUGGCUUAAACAUGUAUGCUGCCUGGGACCAGGUAAGUAGACUAUUUGAGCCUGUUUCCUUACCAAUGAAAUUAGGUUGGUACUUAACCAUGUUUGCUGUGAUAAUUCAAUAGACACGAAAGGUUUACUAUUGAGUCAAGCAUAUUAGGUACUUAGUAAAACUUAUGAAUAUCUAGAUCUAUUCUAGGAAA